rnacentral:rRNA from 1 species
CAUGUCUUUUUGUUAAUUUUUUAAAGUUUGGUCUGCUCAAUGAAGUUUUUAAUAGCCGCAGUAUUUUAACUGUGCAAAGGUAGCAUAAUAGAUAGUUUCUUAAUUAGAAGCUUGUAUGAAUGGUUGGACGAAAAAAUUUCUGUCUCAGUUUUAUUUAUUUUUGAAUUUUAUUUUUGAGUUAAAAAGCUCAAAUUUUUAUGAAAGACGAGAAGACCCUAUAGAGUUUUAUAAUUUUAAUAUUUUAUAAUUUUACAAUUAUUUGAUUGGGGUGCUUUGAAGAUUAAUAAAAUUCUUCUUUUUUGAUUAAUGAUUUUUAAAUUUUGAAAGUAUUAUUUUAAAUAAAAAUAAAUUACCUUAGGGAUAACAGCGUAAUUUUUCUUUAAAGCUCUUAUUGUAAGGAAAGUUUGCGACCUCGAUGUUGGAUUAAAAUUAAUUUUUGGCGCAAUUGUUAAAAAAUUAGGUCUGUUCGACCUUUAAAAUUUUACAUGAUCUGAGUUUAGACCGGCGUGAGCCAGGUUAGAUUCUAUCUUUAGAUUAAUAUGUUGUUUUAGUACGAAAGGACCAAAUAAUAAUUAUAGAUUA